UAAUUCUUUCAAGCGGUGUACCUUUAUCCGAUCUUUUAUCCGAAUUUAGCCCUACCAAAAUAAGAAAAAAAAAGGAAAAAAAAGAAAAAAAUUAAAAGAGGAUUCAUUCAUCUGUAUUUGGAUUUCUUAAAUUAUUUUCACAAUCUAUAAUUUAGUGUUUAAUUUUUCUGGAUUACAGAUUCGUCUAAAAAAUUAGGUUUUUUUUGGUAUUCCGGGUGAGAAAUUGAAAGCAAAUUACAAGUGGAUUGGAUUUUUUUUUUUGUUGACCAGGAGCUGUUAUGGUGGGUACCAUCUUUGUUUCAGUACUGGGUUAGGAGAACUGGAGUUGAAGGUUCUUAGGUCAGUGGAUCAAGAAUAUUCUGGAGGAUGGGGACCGAACUUGUUAGACAUUGCAUCAAAGAAGAAGAUAUGGACAUUUCAGCAAUUCCACCUGGUUUUGAGUCACUUGCACCCUUCACCCUAAAACAGGUGGAAAAUAAUCGACUAAUGAUUAAUCAGUCAUCCACAGCGAGUGAGUCAAAAUCAGAUAGAAGUCAGGUAGAAACAAGUAUUGAAGGUCAUGAAGAUGGAAAGAUGAUGAAGUCACUUAGGCGUAAACCUGGGGUAAACUAUGGGAAAUAUGAGAAAAGCUCAGAAGAUGAAUCUGGUUCCGAUCAGAAUACCUCUGUAAGGCAUUCACUUCCAAAAGGGGUCAUCCGAGGAUGUGAAGGGUGUCUCAAUUGCCAAAGGGUAACUGCGAGAUGGCGGCCAGAGGAAGCUUCUAGGCCCGAUCUUGGGGACGCUCCAGUGUUCUAUCCAACUGAAGAGGAAUUUGAAGAUACCCUGACAUAUAUGGCUAGCAUACGCACCAAAGCAGAGGCAUAUGGAAUUUGUCGCAUAGUACCACCUGCUUCGUGGAAACCCCCAUGCCCUCUUGAGGAAAAAAUUAUAUGGGAGAAAUCCAAAUUUGCUACCCGUAUUCAGAGGAUUGACAAACUUCAGAAUCGAGAUUCGAUGAGAAGGAUGUGGGAAGCUAAUAUUCAUAAGAAGAAGAAAAGAAGAAGAUGCUCAAAACCUGGAGUAGACCUGGGUAAUGGUAGUGUUGACAAUAGGAACCUUGGUGAUACUGAGAGGUUUGGAUUUGAACCUGGUCCAGAGUUUACUCUGGAUGCAUUUCAGAAAUAUGCAGAUGAUUUUAAGGCCCAGUACUUCAGGCAAAGUGAAGGACAAUGUCCCUCAUUGGAGAACAUUGAGGGUGAAUAUUGGCGGAUGGUUGAGAAACCCACCGAAGAGAUUGAGGUGCUUUAUGGGGCUGACUUGGAAACUGGAGUAUUUGGAAGUGGGUUCCCUAAACAUGACCAUCAAGUUGGCUCUUCUGACACCAAGUAUGUGAACUCAGGGUGGAACUUGAAUAAUUUUCCAAGGCUUACAGGUUCUGUUCUUACAUAUGAGAGCAGUGAUAUAUCUGGUGUCUUGGUGCCUUGGCUGUACAUAGGAAUGUGCUUUUCAUCGUUCUGUUGGCAUGUUGAAGAUCACCAUUUAUACUCAUUAAAUUACAUGCAUUUUGGGGCUCCAAAAAUGUGGUAUGGUGUGCCUGGAGCAGAUGCAUCAAAGUUGGAGGCUGCUAUGAGGAAACACUUGCCUGAUCUCUUUGAAGAGCAGCCUGACCUUCUUCACAAGCUGGUUACACAACUAUCUCCCUCCAUAUUGAAGUCUGACGGAGUCCCAGUUUAUCGUUGUGUCCAAAAUCCUGGAGAGUUUGUUUUGACCUUCCCAAGAGCAUAUCAUGCUGGUUUCAAUUGUGGCUUCAAUUGUGCUGAAGCAGUAAAUGUUGCUCCUGUUGAUUGGUUACCCCAUGGACAGAAUGCAAUUGAGCAUUACCGUGAGCAAGGCCGGAAAACUUCCAUAUCCCAUGAUAAACUAUUAUUAGGAGCAGCUCGAGAUGCAGUCAAAGCGCACUGGGAACUUAAUUUAUUGAGGAAGAAUACCUCAAAUAAUUUAAGAUGGAAAGAUGUUUGCGGAAAAGAUGGAGUUUUGUCCAAAGCAUUAAAGAACCGUGUUGAGAUGGAGAGAGUCAGGAGGGAGUUUCUUUGCAAUUCUUCACAAGCACUAAAGAUGGAGAGCACUUUUGAUGCUACUAAUGAGAGGGAAUGCAGUGUGUGUUUUUUUGAUCUACACCUGUCCGCGGCGGGAUGUCACAAUUGUUCGCCCGACAAAUAUGCAUGCUUGAACCAUGCAAAACAACUGUGUACUUGUUCCUGGGGUGCCAAAUUUUUCCUCUUCCGUUAUGACAUCAAUGAAUUAAAUGUACUAGUUGAUGCUUUAGAAGGGAAAUUGAGUGCAAUUUAUCGAUGGGCAAGACAAGAUCUUGGAUUGGCUUUGAGUUCUUAUGUAAAUAAAGAGAGACAAGUUGCAGGGAGUGCUAGUAAAUUAUCUCUUAAACCUGCGGAAUCAGUGCUAAAAGAGGCAAGCGCAGGACUCUCUAUAGAUUCCAUGAAAAAGGAAAAAGAUGAUGGAACUUCAGCACUCUUGAUGAGGGCCAGCAGCAGUGCUUUUUCAUUGCAUAAAGAUAAACAAUCCAGGGAGCCAUUAGCUUUGGAAUCAAUCAAGGCGUCUUCUAUGCCUGACAACACUUCUCAUGGAAUUGAGGGGGCACAGAAUGGCUUCCAGGGCAAAAGUGAAUCCUUAAAGGUGGUUCCUGCUUAUAGAACUCCAGUUACUCAGCUGUCCGUUGAGGGUGGUUCGUGUCAUAAAAAAUUAUCAACAGAUAAACGUGAAGUGAAGGGAACUUCAAGUCUUGAUGAUGUUGUGAUCCUGCUCAGUGAUGAUGAGGGAGAUGAGAUGGACAAUCCAAUUCCUUCGAAAGAUACUGCGGGAAAGCUGACAGUGAACAUGGGUAACAGUGAUAAACCUGUCCCAACAACAUCCAUUGAGAGCAUGAAAGUUGAGGAUAAUUCAAAAGAUGAAAUACAUCGUGGACCUAAUCAAGAUACUCAUUCUUUCGUUGGAGGUUCGUCUGUAAAUAUGGAUAUUGAUAAACAUGCCCAAGGCCCUCAGGUUACAAAAGGGACUUCUGGCGGUAAUAUCAGAGAUGCAGAUACUUGUCCCCAGUCCCGGCAACCAUUCGACUGUAAACCAAAUAAAGAAGGUAGUCAAAAUAAGGCCAUGGAGUGUGCACAACCUUUAUCAGGUGACUCUCCCGUCUCUCAAAACAAUUUGGACAGAGGUUUUCGCCAGAAAGGUCCUCGGAUUGCAAAAGUGGUGAGGAGACUCUCUUGCAAUGUGGAACCUCUGGAUUAUGGAGUUAUCCAGCCUGGCAAGUUAUGGUGUGACAACCGGGUUAUUUAUCCCAAGGGAUUCAGGAGCCGGGUCAGAUACAUUGAUGUUUUAGAUCCAACAAAUAUGUCUCACUAUGUUUCUGAAGUUGUAGAUGCAGGACGAGAUGGCCCACUGUUUAUGGUUUCACUUGAGCGUUGUCCCAGUGAAGUGUUUGUUCACUUGUCCCCUAUCAAAUGCUGGGAUAUGGUCCGCGAGAGAGUGAACCAAGAAAUAUUAAAGCAACAUAAGUUGGGAAAGCCGAAGCUUCUGCCUUUGCAACCACCUGGAAGUGUUGAGGGCAUGGAAAUGUUUGGUUUUUCUACAACAGAGAUUGUACAGGCCAUUCAAGAUAUGGAUGUAAACCGGAUGGAUGAUGCACCAUCAACUAGCACUCGUCGUAUUUAUGAUUACGAAGAUAUUGAGUGGGCUGAAAACAGAUCAAAAAAGUUCCACGAUCUAUUAAUAAUGGCGAAGGCAAAAGUUGGGAAGUUGAAAACGGAUGGACCUUCAUCUUCGAAAGCACAGGUUCAAAAAAACCUCCAAAAAAGGGGUCGAAAAUUUGCUCCUGCAGUUUCUCGACCUUCAUUACCUAAGUCUCUGAAGUAUGUGAUCAAACAAAUUCCAACUCACUCUUUGAAGUUUGGUCCAACAUACAAUAUUGAUUUUAUAAAAGAUUUGAAUAUGUACAUGGGUGUCGAGGGUAUCGAGUUGUUUAAAAAUUCUAUUUUUGGGCCAUACCUCGAUAUUCAUACCUGCAAUUAUCAAGGUCAAAUAUCAAAAUGCUUGUUGCUUCUUGAGCUUGAGCAGGAUAACAGAAAUGAGCUACACAUUCGGCAUGCAAAUGGGAACAUAUUGCAUUUCACUAUAAAAGAAUUCGCAAUAAUAACCGGUCUGAAAUGCACAGGCAAUCCCGAUGACUUUAAAUAUCCGAAUUCUACUAAAAGCAGGCUUGUUCAAAGAUAUUUUCCAGAUUUAGUAAAGUAUAAUAGUGUGAGCAAGGGACAAUUUGUUCAACGUUUUCUACAAGGUAGUUGGGACAAUAGUCAGGAUGCUUUCCAAAUGGGAAUUCUUUACUUCAUCAACACAUUUAUUUUAUCACAACUAUCUGAUGCAUCUAUCCAUGUUAACGACUUUCUGAUGGUUGAAGAUGGUAGAUAUCAACAUUUUCCUUGGGGUCAGCGUGCAUUUUUCAGGUUAAUGAAUUCAUGGAGGCAAGAGAGAACCAAAGUAAAACAGAUGUAUCGUUUAGGUGGCAUGCCCUAUGCUCUAAAUGUGUGGGUAUAUGAAUGUGCGUCAGUUAUCAACGAUGAAACUGCUGUUAAAGAGGGAGACUACAUCCCUAGGAUACGCAACUGGCGAGUUGUUGGUGUCAAGCCCAAAUUUGAAAUGUUCAUGUCUAGUAUUUUUACUGAGAAUGCAUGUACCAAUAUACAACCGACUCCUGAGGAAUUGGCGGUACUUGAUUUGCCUGACAAUAUGAGUGUCUCUCAUUCUGAACAUUCUACGUCUACUGAUAAACCUACACAAGCUAUAUUAGAAGACGUUCCUGGAUUUGAGGAUUUUUCUUCUAAACCACCUGAUCAAAUUUUAAGGAGAACUACAUGUGUAUCUAGUGCCUCAUCUAUACCACCCCCGAAGAGAAGAAAGAAAGUUGAUUUGGCCAAACAAAAAAGUAGUGCAAUGGAACAACCAGAACAGUCUCCCGUGAUACAAAAAGAGUCAUUCUCUAUUCCAGAAUCUUCUGGUAAUGUUCCCGAUCUUCAUGGUCCUUCACUUGAUCCUAAAGAAAAGAAAAAUAUUACAGAUAUCGAAGAAGUUAAGCAAUAUCUGAAGGAAUAUGUUGACAAAAAGUUUGAGGAUUUAGAAGUCUUAAUAAAAAAUAAUCACACAGAUCUGAUGAAAGCAGUUCGGAAGCUAAAAUAGAAGAAAAUUUCUGCCAAAUCGAUUUCAAUCACAGAGGAAGAGUUAAUCCAAGAAGCCAAUGUUAAUCAACCCUAAACUACUGAUCAAUUUGUUGAACAACCAAGGUCUCCAAUUGAUAUGGAGUUUGCCAACAACGACCUCGUCGAUAAUGCUGAUGUAGAGGCUGAAGAACAAACACACGUACACCAACACGAUGUCAGAGAGGGUCCAUCGAUAUCAACUUCCAUCCCCGUGGCUAGGAUCAUAGUAGAGCAAGAUUUAAAGAUUGGUGAGUUCUCGUAGCAUUCGAGGAUUUGACCAUCAUUUCCUUAUGUCUUACAUUUUAUGUU